AUAAAUGUGAAAAAUGGGACAAAGGGUGCCAGUGAAGGUCUUGGGCCCAAACAGGAUUCCAAAUUCGUGAAGAUUAACAUUUGUAAACAAAGCCACUGCAGCAUGCCCCCAACUCCCACCCUACCCUACCACCAGUGAACUUGGAAACAGUGACUUCCAUAGUUGACUCCACUCUGAGCCCAGAGCCCAUCAGGAGCCAGCAGCCACAUCCGCCCACCCUCCACCCCACCCCCACUGCUGGGUUCAGGCUCUCGGAAACCCUGAGGACAGAGAACUCGUGAUGGAAGAACUCGAGACCUGAUGGGAAACAGGAUUGGGGAACUGUUGUUGGCAGUGGACCCA